rnacentral:rRNA from 1 species
UCCGUAGGUGAACCUGCGGAAGGAUCAUUACCGAGUGUAGGGUUCCUAGCGAGCCCAACCUCCCACCCGUGUUUACAGUACCUUAGUUGCUUCGGCGGGCCCGCCAUUCAUGGCCGCCGGGGGCUCUCAGCCCCGGGCCCGCGCCCGCCGGAGACACCACGAACUCUGUCUGAUCUAGUGAAGUCUGAGUUGAUUGUAUCGCAAUCAGUUAAAACUUUCAACAAUGGAUCUCUUGGUUCCGGCAUUGAUGAAGAACGCAGCGAAAUGCGAUAACUAGUGUGAAUUGCAGAAUUCCGUGAAUCAUCGAGUCUUUGAACGCACAUUGCGCCCCCUGGUAUUCCGGGGGGCAUGCCUGUCCGAGCGUCAUUGCUGCCCAUCAAGCACGGCUUGUGUGUUGGGUCGUCGUCCCCUCUCCGGGGGGGACGGGCCCCAAAGGCAGCGGCGGCACCGCGUCCGAUCCUCGAGCGUAUGGGGCUUUGUCACCCGCUCUGUAGGCCCGGCCGGCGCUUGCCGAACGCAAAUCAAUCUUUUUCCAGGUUGACCUCGGAUCAGGUAGGGAUACCCGCUGAACUUAAGCAUAUCAAUAAGCGGAGGA